AUGUCUUGCUGCAGCUACUGGCAUAUCCUGUCCAACCCAUCCCCCAAUAUGACUGCAUUACAAACAAGGCUAGAAAGACAACAACAAAAUUUAAGGACUGCACUGAAGAUGCGCAGGGAAAAAAAACACCCAUCACCAAACAAACAAAGAAAGGACACACACUUUCAGCUGUAGGAAGAGCAGCGUGCAGACCACGAAGGGCAUUCCUGGAAGGACCUCCAGGCAGAGAUGGCCGUGUUUCAGCACAUGCAAUUGCAGAACUCAUGGCUGAAACGACUCCGCCGCACAGAAGUGAAGGGAUUCCCUCCACCAGUGUGUCUCCAGCACAUGAGUCCCUGCUGUCACAUCAAGGUGGCCCAGGGCUGCAUUUGUUCACAGGAAGGGAGGCAUGAAGGGCUAGAAGAGGAAUAGCUGGACCCAGAGCUCACACAGGAGAAGGCUCUUGUCUGCAACAGCUUGGACAGGAGUAGCUUACAGAGCCAGACAAAAAUUCAACCUACCCAGAUAUGGAUGUGAAAGGAUGGGAUGGCUAGAAACUAGCUGGUGCCAAAUCCCAGUCACGGAUGAAUGAAAUGGAAAAUAAAACGAACAGAAGAGUCCAGUUCCUGAGCAGUCAGGAAUUUCUGAUCUAUGCACCUCUGGGACACAGUAUUUCCAUACCUCAGCCUUGCUUUUUGAGACUUCACAGACAUCUGCUGCAGUGAACAUCCCUGCCAGCAAACACAUGUUCCAAGGGUCUGUAUUUGCCUGCACCUCAUCGUAAAGCAAUGGAGAAGAGUCUUGUUCACAGCACCCUCUGCAUUGCCCAAUAACAGGCAGACAUAAGUUGUUAGAUUAAUGGGGUUUCCAUGUACUGGGCAGCAUUUAUCAGAACUAGGUGCAUAAAGAGAGGCUGCAAGACCUUUGUCUUGGCAUCUGAAAGGGAUAACUUGAUUUUCAGAAGUGCUCAGCACCACUGAUGAGAAUUACAGAUACUGGCUUGUGUAUGGGAACAGCUGAACUUAACAUCUAUUUAGGCUGUCAGAGCACUAAAAGGAACUGUGUAAAGAAACUCCAGAUCCAGGCUUAAGGAAAAAGUUUAUCAUAUUUCAUCCAAAAAAGAAAUAUUAAGAAAAGAACACAAGAGAGGGAGAGAACAAAGACACUGAGUUCAGAGCUCGAUUUUAAGACCGCUGAUUUACCAGUGUUCAAAUCAAGAGUGUGCUCUCCUUUUCUUCUUUCAAUUCACCCAAGCCUUGCAGAGGUCAGCAUGCCCUAAAACCAGGAUCCCAGAAAAGGCCUGGACAAACAUUCAUGGUGCUUUCCAAACUGCAUUAGCAAAGAUUAAAUACAAGCAAGAUUGAAAGGGAUAUAAAACUCCUGCUUAAGCCUUCUCUCUCAGCUCAAGGGCAAAGAAAUCUGCAUCCAGGUCAUCUCAUUUCAUAAUUGCUUCCCUCAGAGGGCUUUAACCACCACCUUUGAUGCAUCUGGUCUUUGUCACUCCUGGAGAGGGUGACACUCAGAGCAUCAAUCCCCUUAAAUCAGCCCAGUUGUACAUACAACAUUUCUCAUGAGCCACAUACCCACUAUUUUUCAGUCUGAUUACGGUCUGGGCAGAGAGGCAUCAAGCUCCUGCCCAUUUAUGCAUCACCCUUGCAGUGCUUUCUGCCUGUUUGAACAUGUUUCAUCAAGCCUACUUCUCUCCGUCACAGUUCCUGGUCGGGAGUUGGGGCAGCUGCAUUUGCCUCUCAGUGAAUUUUAGAUAACAUUUAUGAGGCUGCAUUAGUUUGGCCUUGGCAGCCCUCACCCCUCAGACCUCCUGCCAACACACCAGACCAGUUUCUGCUGACCCUGCAGAAGGCACUGGCAUGGUCAUUACAGGUGUCCCACCUUGCUGGCUUUCUGUUCCUUGCUGAGGGAGCAGAGAUUGUUCAGGAUAUGGCACUCAUGGUGGUUUCAGGCUAGUACAAGAAGUGAAGUUGCUGAAUCCAUGUCCAGCAGGAGCUGCCAAGGACAGAUAUGUCAGCCCAGCUGCCUCUGCUCUGCUGUCUGGAGGUGUGAACUGGGGCUGCGGGGCAACAUCUGCAAGGAGAAACUGUUCCCACAGUUCACCCCUGAAAGGUGCCUUUAGGCAGGCCCCCGACAAGAGCUGCUGACUCUCUUGAAGCACAGUUUCUCUCUCAUUUCAGCUUCAGUCAUGAGCUCCCCUCAAAAUGCCCUCCCAAAAAUCCCAGUGGUUUUUAGAUAAGCACAGUGAGUCAUAAAAGCCCGAAGAAAAUGCUUCUCCUUUCUCCAUGGAAGAGAAGCACUGAAGCAUCCUCUUUUGAAUUUCACUGAGGUUCUGGUUGGGGCCUUUUUUGGGACAAACUGUUUUCUUCUUGGAGCCUUUUUUUUUUUUUUCCAUACCUACAUGUCAGAGAGCAUUAAAUGAAGAGUAUCAAAGUCUUGUUCUCUCACCACCAUUUGCAGCUGAGCUUGACAGGAGAGCUAGGCUCCAUCUCAGUGGAAGGGGAUGACAUUGUCCAUGGCUGCUGUGACAAGGAACAGGUCAGUCUGAGCACAAGGAGCCAGUUUGAACCCAUGCCUCCUGAAGUAUUCACACUUAAGGUCAUAUGUUUUCUUCAAAAAAGUCUAAUAAGGAGGAGUUUUUCAAAGGAGCAGAUAAUUAAAUUGCAAAUGUCAGUUUGGAGUUUCUCAGACUCCCUCAGAGGACAGAUGCUGUCAAAAUAGACUGAAUUCUUGCAGGCGACCCAUGCUUGAGGAACAGCAGAAUGGGAUGGGUGCUCAAGCACGAGUCUUCAGGGAGCAAGAGCUAGCCAAUAUUCUGGACAGCAGGAGUGCACUCAUGCUAAAGGAAAACAUCAGUAGGAAGUGGCCUAACAACCUUUCACAGAGGGCUUUUAGCUGGGACAGAGAAGUCAAAGCGUCCUCAGGGAGACCCCUACAAGCUUGCUUAAUAAAACCCAGCCACCCUGUCCCCAGAAAGAAACAUUACUGGAAUUCUUCUAGGCUUAUUGGAAAAUGUGGAGGGACUGGCCAGUUAGGGUGUGGGUCUCCACAGCUAAGCCAUACCAUGAAGAAGCCUCGGGGGAGCCCCAGUUUUACACAUUUUGCAUGUGCACAGCUGCUUUUUCCAGAGCUGAGUGCUUUCCCCCUUGGCCACACCACUGCUGGAUGUCAGCUCCCUGCCAGCAGGCAACAGCCCCUGCACUGGCAGCACAGUGCUUCCUGGAGGUUUCAUUGAGGCUAGCGGGGAGAUGCUGCAGUGGCUGCAACAGAGCUGUUGGCACUACUCAAGGAAGCAGAAAAAAAGCCUUGCAGGAUGCCUGAAAAGCACAGUCUACUACAGAGAACUUCACAGUCGCACCCGCAGCAUUUCUAAUCCCAGGCUGUGCUUGCUCCAUUCUCAUUGCUUCAUCAGCAUCUCUGGUGACAAAAAAACCAAGUGCCUCUCAGCAGCCUGUCAUAUACCUCAGUACAGUGAGUUUAUGCUCUCCAGAGGAGUGUAAACUUGUACCUUCAUCUUGUCUUUUGCACCCCAAAGUCUCCCCAGAGAUUACAGAAAUACAGUAACUGGUAGUGGAGCUAGCUUCAAAAAAAAAAAAAAAAA